rnacentral:tRNA from 1 species
GCCCCGAUAGUAUAAUCAAUUACUUUGGUCUUGUAAACCAAAAAUGAAGAAUUACUCUUCUCAGGGCA